rnacentral:rRNA from 1 species
AUGGGGCGGUUAGGGAAUGAUCCGCUCGAGCGGGUCUCCGAGCUCAUUGAUACUAACACAGGGACUUGUGAUUUUGAAACAGUACGUCGGAACUUUCUUGCACCUGAUACGGAGGCCAUAUUAAACAUUCCUAUUCGGCACAACGGUGGAGAAGAUUUCCUGGCGUGGGCCUUUGAAAGAUCUGGAGAGUACACUGUAAAAUCAGCCUACCGUGCUCUUGUGACUCAGAACGAGCAUCGAGCUCUAGAGGAAGGGACGGUAGUGGGAACAUCAACUUCUCAAAAAAAAUUGUGGACUGCUCUAUGGAAACUCAAGGUGACCCCAAGAGUUCAUGUUUUCAUGUGGAGAGUUCUCAGAGGGAUACUUCCUGAUUACGUCAACAUGAAAUACCGCCAUAUUCGCACUAACUCUCUAUGCGAAUUGUGCAAGGCAACGGACGAAGAUCUAUUCCACGCACUUGUUCAUUGCACACACAGACACACACCAGCUUUCUGGUUUGCAGCUAAGGAAGUCCUCAGUCUAAAACUUCCCCGGCUGCAUCAUGAUACAUGGGCGCGAGACUUAGUGGUUGACACUAGGUUCUCAGACUCGGACAGAUGCAAGAUCAUUACAAUCAUGCAUUCGAUCUGGACCUUGAGGAACCGCUGGACGCACGAUGAGGAAGGCUAUGACCCCGCCCAGGCAACCAAAUGGGCCCGAGAUGACCUAGCUAUACUUGAUCUGCCUCUGAUCCAACGACACAACACGUGGAUUCAGAAGUGGAGUCCAUCGCAACCCGGGUGGAUCAAAAUCAACACAGAUGGCGCUCUUGACACACAACUCCAGGUGUAA